rnacentral:lncRNA from 10 species
GCACAGACCUCCCUCCCAAGCAUGUCCUUAACCUUGGCAAAAUAAACUUCCAAAUUGAUUGAGAGCUGGUUUUGGUUUACAAGCUGGCAGCCAAAGGAAGUGACUCAGUGGAGGUGGCCCUGACCUUUGACAAAUCUAUCAGUGCUUGGUACCAGCUUGGGCUAUUUUUAUUGCUCAAACAGGACAAUUUGCUGAGGCCUGGGAGCACCCCACUCCAGAGAAUCCCUGAUGUCCCAAAAUUUGGUUGAGAUCUAAAGUUUAUUUUGCUGUACACCUCUUUGUCUGCAGUUUUACUUACUCCCAACAAAGAAGGUGCGUUUUCCUGCCUCCAUGACGAUGGAGGGGAGGCAACUCCUUUCUGGAAUUUCAUCUGGCUUCCAGCAGGGAAGGUAAGGAAGCAUGACAGUUGCCCUGACGGCUCCCUGUACCACAUUCAUCACAGCAGAACCUCGUAAUGAAGCUGGAUUUGAGGGCAACACACCCCCUUUAUUGGCUACACACACACUAUCAAGACAAUUCAACUUAGCUACAUUAUACAAAAGUUCCUGCCAGACCUUGGACCUUAACUUGCUUCUGACACAGACUUUGCUAGAAGCUUCCAGAGCAGGGCUGAGCACCUACAGAUGACUGGAGAACACCAAAGGCAGGCCAGGUGGGAAUGGAUGGCGGGAAAAGCCCUGUGAAUCUCAAGGCACCACACAGGGCACAGAGGGAGACCCCAGGUAACAUGCACAUGGUCAAAAAAUGGAACAAUAUGAACAAGAUAGUAAGCAAAGUCUUACUGCAAUGCCCUUCCAGUUUGCCCCAGUACCAGCCCUGCCUCCUCCAGCUGAAGCUGAAAAAUGAAAACCUACGAUCUGAAGUCAAAAGUCAAAUGUGUGAAGAAUAAACCAUGAAAUUAGUUCUGUCCGCUCCACCAGCUUUCUGAAUCCAGGAAGGCAAAGUCCAUUUGCAUUUUGUAACUGCUGACAAAGGUGUCCAAAUAAGAAGUACCCCCACGAAGUUUCUAUAUAGUCCGAAUGUACACACUAGCAUCGCUGAUGAAGGAAACAAAUUCUGCAGAGCAGAGGGGACUUAUCCAAGAAUUCUUCAGUAAUCAAUCUGAGAAUAUGACUUUUGAGACAGCUCACUGGUGAGAUUUUAACUUCAAUUCAGUUUGACAAACAUAUUAUGCAACUACUACAAACCGGGCACUUUGGCCGAUACUAAGAAACCAAGAGGAUUCUUAUCACUGGAAACAAAAUAAUUAACUGAAAAUGUAAUUAAUCGUACUAAAAAGGGGUUUCCACCUUUAAAAUACAU